UACGUAGGGCGCAAGCGUUGUCCGGAAUUAUUGGGCGUAAAGAGCUCGUAGGUGGUUUGUUACGUCUGCUGUGAAACCUAGGGCUUAACCCUGGGCCUGCAGUGGAUACGGGCAGACGUAGAGGUAGGUAGGGGAGAAUGGAAUUCCCGGUGUAGCGGUGAAAUGCGCAGAUAUCGGGAGGAACACCGGUGGCGAAGGCGGUUCUCUGGGCCUUACCUGACACUGAGGAGCGAAAGCGUGGGGAGCGAACAGG
rnacentral:rRNA from 1 species